UACGUAGGGGGCGAGCGUUGUCCGGAUUUAUUGGGCGUAAAGAGCGCGUAGGUGGUUUGUAAAGUCGGAUGUGAAAGUCCAGGGCUCAACCCUGGGAUGCCAUUCGAUACUUGCAAACUAGAGCACGGUAGGGGGAUCUGGAAUUCCUGGUGUAGCGGUGAAAUGCGCAGAUAUCAGGAGGAACACCGGUGGCGAAGGCGGGAUCCUGGGCCGUUGCUGACACUGAGGCGCGAAAGCUGGGGGAGCGAACAGG
rnacentral:rRNA from 1 species